rnacentral:rRNA from 1 species
UACGGAAGGCAGCAGGGGGAAUAUUGCACAAUGGGCGCAAGCCUGAUGCAGCCAUGCCGCGUGUAUGAAGAAGGCCUUCGGGUUGUAAAGUACUUUCAGCGGGGAGGAGGCGAUGCGGUUAAUAACCGCGUCGAUUGACGUUACCCGCAGAAGAAGCACCGGCUAACUCCGUGCCAGCAGCCGCGGUAAUACGGAGGGUGCAAGCGUUAAUCGGAAUUACUGGGCGUAAAGCGCACGCAGGCGGUCUGUUAAGUCAGAUGUGAAAUCCCCGGGCUUAACCUGGGAACUGCAUUUUGAAACUGGCAGGCUUGAGUCUUGUAGAGGGGGUAGAUUCCAGGUGUAGCGGUGAAAUGCGUAGAGAUCUGGAGGAAUACCGGUGGCGAAGGCGGCCCCUGGGACAAGACUGACGCUCAGGGUGCGAAAGCGUGGGGAGCAAACAGGGAUUAGAUACC